UCCCUAUCUACAUCCGUGAAGAAGUUGUGGGCUCGAACGACGACGUCGGAGACUUUCGGGGGCGAGAACCGUGCUUCGGGGUUCUCGGUUUCCCCCGGUCAACUUCUCUGUGCGAGGGUCUUUUAUGGUGAAAUCGUCGGCCAAGGUCUCGCCUCUCCACGACUCGCGGUCUGGUAGGAGUAGCGAUAACGGGGUUUUCAACGUUAAGUCGCCGCCUUUCGCAGAGCGGUCAAAGUUCAGAGUUGUAAUUCAGGAUUCCGAGACCGGUCCAGAAUUCCAUGCUGACCCAUGUGAUAUUUCGAUGCUAUCUGAAGCGGGAAAGAGCGUAUAAAAAGUGCCAUUUUCUGGCCAUUCUGGAUGACUUUGACCUUGACCUACUUUUUCAAGGUCAAGGUCACCCAACCCGUCCCAGUGGGUUCCGUCUCUCUACGACGAAGACUUUAGGAGUCGUCAAUUUGUAGGGGACAAAUCGCAAAACAUGAGGGGGGCAUUAACUCCCUUUAGGGGACACCGAAUCCCUUCAUUUGAAAUUCUUCGCUUCUACUCAUUGACCUCUAUGCUUCAGCAAAGGUUUCAUCCUCCUAUCAUUUACGGUUAAAAAGGAGUAGCGAUAACAAUGAUUUCUGCUAACAGGUCCGAUAACUCUGUAAGGGGUCAAAGUUCCAUGACGCAGGGUGAAAUGUAUUCGUUUCUCAAGAAGUGCUCUAGGAUGGACUCUAAAGUUUUUCGAUAAGUCUUAAGACGAAAAUUUUUUUUGACGGCAGGAAAAUAAUAAUAAUAAACAGAACAAUAACAAUAGGACUUUCCACAGAAAGGUGGAAAGCCCUAAUAAUUGAGACGAAAGUGCCACGUAUUGAAUACAUUUGGCAUUCCUAGGUCAGAAUGGGAACUUGAGUCAUGCAAGUGACAUUUUCACGUUAAAAAAUGCGCGUUUGCCUAAAUUUGGAUUUCUCGUAUUCUGUUGAUUUCUACAUUUCAAGAUUGGCAACUGACCAGGUGUAAAGGUGCACAUUUUCCGUUCUCGGAUGGAAAAAGGGGUGGGUUCGAUUCCCCCGGUCAGUUCACAAGGAAAUGUUGAGUCGCCGUGCUUAAAAAAAAUCAAUUUUCGCAUUCGUCAAGGCGUAAAAGAAUGGCAGGUGGUGAGUGUUUAAAACACUAGUGAUCCUAAUUGUUCGCGAACAAUUAGAGGGCUUCCCACCUUCUAGCGGUUUUUCAGUAGUGUUGAAAUGCUAAAAGCCCCCCCCCCCCCUACCCCACCCCACCCUCACCAAAAAAAAAAAAAAAAAAAAAAAAAAAAAAAUGGAUUUGGCUUGAAAAGAAAUUCAAAUUUGCCGCCUUGAGUGUUGUAGUGUUGGAGAUUAAGGCCUUGGUUUCGCACGAUAGUACCGGUCAAAUAUUUGGAAAAAAAGGGUGCGAGUGUUGCAUAGCCGGCACAUAUCAGGUAAAAGUGUAAUGGGACUUGUGCAGGUGUUUGGGGUGACUUUAGACCUGUUAGAUGUGAUAUUUGGAGGUGCAAAGAAACCGGAUGUGCCAUUUUCCUAGAUUGUAGUAACUGCUGGUGCAUGCUGGGAGUCUAUACAAGCCUCAUGUUGUCAGAUGUUGUGAAGAUGCACUGGAUUUGACCGUGUGUGUUGUGGAUUGUGGAAUUGAAUAUACAGUUUGUAAUGGCUCAUCCUAUGUGUUCUAAUUCACGGAGACAAUGUCUUUCAGUCAUUUCACCCAAGGAGGCAUGCAUAUACGGAUUGAUAGGCUUUGACAACAAACAACCAAAAUGGCGGCCGGUGAAUUAGAAAGUGUCUGAGUGCAUGUAGGAUAUCUGAACGGAGAAUAGGAGUACUGCAUCCCAUCUGAUCCUGCAGGUAAGUGUUUAUUUGUUUACAAUGACAGUCAGGAUGGAAUGUCAAUGAGUUCAACUGUCAAGUAAAGUUGCAUCAUCAUUAUAAAAAAAAAAAAAACUUAGUCUUUAUGUUGAUGCAGGCAGACAAUUGAAUCUGGCCUAUGUCUUUUCAUGAAUGUAAAUGGAAUUCAUGUUUGAUUGACAAGACAGUCAAGAAAUGGAAGAAGUGGGUGUAGGUCAGAUGUGUAGGUGUAGGUCAGAUUAGCUAGAAUCCUGUAAUUGUUGCAUGGCAUGAGACCGGUCAAAAUAGUGUAUUGAAACAGCUGAUCACAAUCAGAUCACUUGAAGGGUGGGGGAUUUCUUCCUUGGGGACGACAGGCGUGAUGGGUGGGUUGGCCUUACUCGUGGAGACUGGCCCCUGGAUGCGUGACCUUGACCUUUGACCUUGACCCACUUUCAAGGUCAAACCUCAAAAAUCCUGUUGUUGGGCAUGAAACCGGUCAAAAUAGUGUAUUAUAAACAGCUGAUGACAGACAGAUCACUUGAAGGGUGGGGGGUUUCUUCCUUGGGGACGACAGGCGUGAUGGGUGGGUUGGCCUUACUCGUGGAGACUGGCCCCUUGAUGCCUGACCUUGACCUUUGACCUUGACCCACGUUCAAGGUAAAACUUCAAAAACCCAUGGGGGAGAAAGUGUGACCUUGACCUUUGACCUUGACCUCAUUUUGAAGGUCAGAGAGGUCACGGGGCUUCGUUUAAGUGGUCCCGCGUCUCUAUCUACAUCCGUGAAGAAGUUGUGGGCUCGAACGACGACGUCGGAGACUUUCGGGGGCGAGAACCGUGCUUCGGGGUUCUAGGUUUCCCUCGGUCAACUUCUCUGUGCGAGAGUGUUUCAUCUGGAAUUCGUCGGCGAAGGUCUCGCCUCUCCACGACUUGUGGUCUAGUGGGAGUAGCGAUAACGGGGUUUUCGACGUUAAGUCGCCGCCUUUCGCAGAGCGGUCAAAGUUCAGAGUUGUAAUUCAGGAUUCCGAGACCGGUCCAGAAUUCCAUGCUGACCCAUGUGAUAUUUCGAUGCUAUCUGAAGCGGGAAAGAGCGUAUAAAAAGUGCCAUUUUCUGGCCAUUCUGGAUGACCUUGACCUUUGACCUUGACCUACUUUUUCAAGGUCAAGGUCACCCAACCCGUCCCAGUGGGUUCCGUCUCUCUACGACGAAGACUUUAGGAGUCGUCAAUUUGUAGGGGACAAAUCGCAAAACAUGAGGGGGGCAUUAACUCCCUUUAGGGGACACCGAAUCCCUUCAUUUGAAAUUCUUCGCUUCUACUCAUUGACCUCUAUGCUUCAGCAAAGGUUUCAUCCUCCUAUCAUUUACGGUUAAAAAGGAGUAGCGAUAACAAUGAUUUCUGCUAACAGGUCCGAUAACUCUGUAAGGGGUCAAAGUUCCAUGACGCAGGGUGAAAUGUAUUCGUUUCUCAAGAAGUGCUCUAGGAUGGACUCUAAAGUUUUUCGAUAAGUCUUAAGACGAAAAUUUUUUUUGACGGCAGGAAAAUAAUAAUAAUAAACAGAACAAUAACAAUAGGACUUUCCACAGAAAGGUGGAAAGCCCUAAUAAUUGAGACGAAAGUGCCACGUAUUGAAUACAUUUGGCAUUCCUAGGUCAGAAUGGGAACUUGAGUCAUGCAAGUGACAUUUUCACGUUAAAAAAUGCGCGUUUGCCUAAAUUUGGAUUUCUCGUAUUCUGUUGAUUUCUACAUUUCAAGAUUGGCAACUGACCAGGUGUAAAGGUGCACAUUUUCCGUUCUCGGAUGGAAAAAGGGGUGGGUUCGAUUCCCCCGGUCAGUUCACAAGGAAAUGUUGAGUCGCCGUGCUUAAAAAAAAUCAAUUUUCGCAUUCGUCAAGGCGUAAAAGAAUGGCAGGUGGUGAGUGUUUAAAACACUAGUGAUCCUAAUUGUUCGCGAACAAUUAGAGGGCUUCCCACCUUCUAGCGGUUUUUCAGUAGUGUUGAAAUGCUAAAAGCCCCCCCCCCCCCUACCCCACCCCACCCUCACCAAAAAAAAAAAAAAAAAAAAAAAAAAAAAAAUGGAUUUGGCUUGAAAAGAAAUUCAAAUUUGCCGCCUUGAGUGUUGUAGUGUUGGAGAUUAAGGCCUUGGUUUCGCACGAUAGUACCGGUCAAAUAUUUGGAAAAAAAGGGUGCGAGUGUUGCAUAGCCGGCACAUAUCAGGUAAAAGUGUAAUGGGACUUGUGCAGGUGUUUGGGGUGACUUUAGACCUGUUAGAUGUGAUAUUUGGAGGUGCAAAGAAACCGGAUGUGCCAUUUUCCUAGAUUGUAGUAACUGCUGGUGCAUGCUGGGAGUCUAUACAAGCCUCAUGUUGUCAGAUGUUGUGAAGAUGCACUGGAUUUGACCGUGUGUGUUGUGGAUUGUGGAAUUGAAUAUACAGUUUGUAAUGGCUCAUCCUAUGUGUUCUAAUUCACGGAGACAAUGUCUUUCAGUCAUUUCACCCAAGGAGGCAUGCAUAUACGGAUUGAUAGGCUUUGACAACAAACAACCAAAAUGGCGGCCGGUGAAUUAGAAAGUGUCUGAGUGCAUGUAGGAUAUCUGAACGGAGAAUAGGAGUACUGCAUCCCAUCUGAUCCUGCAGGUAAGUGUUUAUUUGUUUACAAUGACAGUCAGGAUGGAAUGUCAAUGAGUUCAACUGUCAAGUAAAGUUGCAUCAUCAUUAUAAAAAAAAAAAAAACUUAGUCUUUAUGUUGAUGCAGGCAGACAAUUGAAUCUGGCCUAUGUCUUUUCAUGAAUGUAAAUGGAAUUCAUGUUUGAUUGACAAGACAGUCAAGAAAUGGAAGAAGUGGGUGUAGGUCAGAUGUGUAGGUGUAGGUCAGAUUAGCUAGAAUCCUGUAAUUGUUGCAUGGCAUGAGACCGGUCAAAAUAGUGUAUUGAAACAGCUGAUCACAAUCAGAUCACUUGAAGGGUGGGGGAUUUCUUCCUUGGGGACGACAGGCGUGAUGGGUGGGUUGGCCUUACUCGUGGAGACUGGCCCCUGGAUGCGUGACCUUGACCUUUGACCUUGACCCACUUUCAAGGUCAAACCUCAAAAAUCCUGUUGUUGGGCAUGAAACCGGUCAAAAUAGUGUAUUAUAAACAGCUGAUGACAGACAGAUCACUUGAAGGGUGGGGGGUUUCUUCCUUGGGGACGACAGGCGUGAUGGGUGGGUUGGCCUUACUCGUGGAGACUGGCCCCUUGAUGCCUGACCUUGACCUUUGACCUUGACCCACGUUCAAGGUAAAACUUCAAAAACCCAUGGGGGAGAAAGUGUGACCUUGACCUUUGACCUUGACCUCAUUUUGAAGGUCAGAGAGGUCACGGGGCUUCGUUUAAGUGGUCCCGCGUCUCUAUCUACAUCCGUGAAGAAGUUGUGGGCUCGAACGACGACGUCGGAGACUUUCGGGGGCGAGAACCGUGCUUCGGGGUUCUAGGUUUCCCUCGGUCAACUUCUCUGUGCGAGAGUGUUUCAUCUGGAAUUCGUCGGCGAAGGUCUCGCCUCUCCACGACUUGUGGUCUAGUGGGAGUAGCGAUAACGGGGUUUUCGACGUUAAGUCGCCGCCUUUCGCAGAGCGGUCAAAGUUCAGAGUUGUAAUUCAGGAUUCCGAGACCGGUCCAGAAUUCCAUGCUGACCCAUGUGAUAUUUCGAUGCUAUCUGAAGCGGGAAAGAGCGUAUAAAAAGUGCCAUUUUCUGGCCAUUCUGGAUGACCUUGACCUUUGACCUUGACCUACUUUUUCAAGGUCAAGGUCACCCAACCCGUCCCAGUGGGUUCCGUCUCUCUACGACGAAGACUUUAGGAGUCGUCAAUUUGUAGGGGACAAAUCGCAAAACAUGAGGGGGGCAUUAACUCCCUUUAGGGGACACCGAAUCCCUUCAUUUGAAAUUCUUCGCUUCUACUCAUUGACCUCUAUGCUUCAGCAAAGGUUUCAUCCUCCUAUCAUUUACGGUUAAAAAGGAGUAGCGAUAACAAUGAUUUCUGCUAACAGGUCCGAUAACUCUGUAAGGGGUCAAAGUUCCAUGACGCAGGGUGAAAUGUAUUCGUUUCUCAAGAAGUGCUCUAGGAUGGACUCUAAAGUUUUUCGAUAAGUCUUAAGACGAAAAUUUUUUUUGACGGCAGGAAAAUAAUAAUAAUAAACAGAACAAUAACAAUAGGACUUUCCACAGAAAGGUGGAAAGCCCUAAUAAUUGAGACGAAAGUGCCACGUAUUGAAUACAUUUGGCAUUCCUAGGUCAGAAUGGGAACUUGAGUCAUGCAAGUGACAUUUUCACGUUAAAAAAUGCGCGUUUGCCUAAAUUUGGAUUUCUCGUAUUCUGUUGAUUUCUACAUUUCAAGAUUGGCAACUGACCAGGUGUAAAGGUGCACAUUUUCCGUUCUCGGAUGGAAAAAGGGGUGGGUUCGAUUCCCCCGGUCAGUUCACAAGGAAAUGUUGAGUCGCCGUGCUUAAAAAAAAUCAAUUUUCGCAUUCGUCAAGGCGUAAAAGAAUGGCAGGUGGUGAGUGUUUAAAACACUAGUGAUCCUAAUUGUUCGCGAACAAUUAGAGGGCUUCCCACCUUCUAGCGGUUUUUCAGUAGUGUUGAAAUGCUAAAAGCCCCCCCCCCCCCUACCCCACCCCACCCUCACCAAAAAAAAAAAAAAAAAAAAAAAAAAAAAAAUGGAUUUGGCUUGAAAAGAAAUUCAAAUUUGCCGCCUUGAGUGUUGUAGUGUUGGAGAUUAAGGCCUUGGUUUCGCACGAUAGUACCGGUCAAAUAUUUGGAAAAAAAGGGUGCGAGUGUUGCAUAGCCGGCACAUAUCAGGUAAAAGUGUAAUGGGACUUGUGCAGGUGUUUGGGGUGACUUUAGACCUGUUAGAUGUGAUAUUUGGAGGUGCAAAGAAACCGGAUGUGCCAUUUUCCUAGAUUGUAGUAACUGCUGGUGCAUGCUGGGAGUCUAUACAAGCCUCAUGUUGUCAGAUGUUGUGAAGAUGCACUGGAUUUGACCGUGUGUGUUGUGGAUUGUGGAAUUGAAUAUACAGUUUGUAAUGGCUCAUCCUAUGUGUUCUAAUUCACGGAGACAAUGUCUUUCAGUCAUUUCACCCAAGGAGGCAUGCAUAUACGGAUUGAUAGGCUUUGACAACAAACAACCAAAAUGGCGGCCGGUGAAUUAGAAAGUGUCUGAGUGCAUGUAGGAUAUCUGAACGGAGAAUAGGAGUACUGCAUCCCAUCUGAUCCUGCAGGUAAGUGUUUAUUUGUUUACAAUGACAGUCAGGAUGGAAUGUCAAUGAGUUCAACUGUCAAGUAAAGUUGCAUCAUCAUUAUAAAAAAAAAAAAAACUUAGUCUUUAUGUUGAUGCAGGCAGACAAUUGAAUCUGGCCUAUGUCUUUUCAUGAAUGUAAAUGGAAUUCAUGUUUGAUUGACAAGACAGUCAAGAAAUGGAAGAAGUGGGUGUAGGUCAGAUGUGUAGGUGUAGGUCAGAUUAGCUAGAAUCCUGUAAUUGUUGCAUGGCAUGAGACCGGUCAAAAUAGUGUAUUGAAACAGCUGAUCACAAUCAGAUCACUUGAAGGGUGGGGGAUUUCUUCCUUGGGGACGACAGGCGUGAUGGGUGGGUUGGCCUUACUCGUGGAGACUGGCCCCUGGAUGCGUGACCUUGACCUUUGACCUUGACCCACUUUCAAGGUCAAACCUCAAAAAUCCUGUUGUUGGGCAUGAAACCGGUCAAAAUAGUGUAUUAUAAACAGCUGAUGACAGACAGAUCACUUGAAGGGUGGGGGGUUUCUUCCUUGGGGACGACAGGCGUGAUGGGUGGGUUGGCCUUACUCGUGGAGACUGGCCCCUUGAUGCCUGACCUUGACCUUUGACCUUGACCCACGUUCAAGGUAAAACUUCAAAAACCCAUGGGGGAGAAAGUGUGACCUUGACCUUUGACCUUGACCUCAUUUUGAAGGUCAGAGAGGUCACGGGGCUUCGUUUAAGUGGUCCCGCGUCUCUAUCUACAUCCGUGAAGAAGUUGUGGGCUCGAACGACGACGUCGGAGACUUUCGGGGGCGAGAACCGUGCUUCGGGGUUCUAGGUUUCCCUCGGUCAACUUCUCUGUGCGAGAGUGUUUCAUCUGGAAUUCGUCGGCGAAGGUCUCGCCUCUCCACGACUUGUGGUCUAGUGGGAGUAGCGAUAACGGGGUUUUCGACGUUAAGUCGCCGCCUUUCGCAGAGCGGUCAAAGUUCAGAGUUGUAAUUCAGGAUUCCGAGACCGGUCCAGAAUUCCAUGCUGACCCAUGUGAUAUUUCGAUGCUAUCUGAAGCGGGAAAGAGCGUAUAAAAAGUGCCAUUUUCUGGCCAUUCUGGAUGACCUUGACCUUUGACCUUGACCUACUUUUUCAAGGUCAAGGUCACCCAACCCGUCCCAGUGGGUUCCGUCUCUCUACGACGAAGACUUUAGGAGUCGUCAAUUUGUAGGGGACAAAUCGCAAAACAUGAGGGGGGCAUUAACUCCCUUUAGGGGACACCGAAUCCCUUCAUUUGAAAUUCUUCGCUUCUACUCAUUGACCUCUAUGCUUCAGCAAAGGUUUCAUCCUCCUAUCAUUUACGGUUAAAAAGGAGUAGCGAUAACAAUGAUUUCUGCUAACAGGUCCGAUAACUCUGUAAGGGGUCAAAGUUCCAUGACGCAGGGUGAAAUGUAUUCGUUUCUCAAGAAGUGCUCUAGGAUGGACUCUAAAGUUUUUCGAUAAGUCUUAAGACGAAAAUUUUUUUUGACGGCAGGAAAAUAAUAAUAAUAAACAGAACAAUAACAAUAGGACUUUCCACAGAAAGGUGGAAAGCCCUAAUAAUUGAGACGAAAGUGCCACGUAUUGAAUACAUUUGGCAUUCCUAGGUCAGAAUGGGAACUUGAGUCAUGCAAGUGACAUUUUCACGUUAAAAAAUGCGCGUUUGCCUAAAUUUGGAUUUCUCGUAUUCUGUUGAUUUCUACAUUUCAAGAUUGGCAACUGACCAGGUGUAAAGGUGCACAUUUUCCGUUCUCGGAUGGAAAAAGGGGUGGGUUCGAUUCCCCCGGUCAGUUCACAAGGAAAUGUUGAGUCGCCGUGCUUAAAAAAAAUCAAUUUUCGCAUUCGUCAAGGCGUAAAAGAAUGGCAGGUGGUGAGUGUUUAAAACACUAGUGAUCCUAAUUGUUCGCGAACAAUUAGAGGGCUUCCCACCUUCUAGCGGUUUUUCAGUAGUGUUGAAAUGCUAAAAGCCCCCCCCCCCCCUACCCCACCCCACCCUCACCAAAAAAAAAAAAAAAAAAAAAAAAAAAAAAAUGGAUUUGGCUUGAAAAGAAAUUCAAAUUUGCCGCCUUGAGUGUUGUAGUGUUGGAGAUUAAGGCCUUGGUUUCGCACGAUAGUACCGGUCAAAUAUUUGGAAAAAAAGGGUGCGAGUGUUGCAUAGCCGGCACAUAUCAGGUAAAAGUGUAAUGGGACUUGUGCAGGUGUUUGGGGUGACUUUAGACCUGUUAGAUGUGAUAUUUGGAGGUGCAAAGAAACCGGAUGUGCCAUUUUCCUAGAUUGUAGUAACUGCUGGUGCAUGCUGGGAGUCUAUACAAGCCUCAUGUUGUCAGAUGUUGUGAAGAUGCACUGGAUUUGACCGUGUGUGUUGUGGAUUGUGGAAUUGAAUAUACAGUUUGUAAUGGCUCAUCCUAUGUGUUCUAAUUCACGGAGACAAUGUCUUUCAGUCAUUUCACCCAAGGAGGCAUGCAUAUACGGAUUGAUAGGCUUUGACAACAAACAACCAAAAUGGCGGCCGGUGAAUUAGAAAGUGUCUGAGUGCAUGUAGGAUAUCUGAACGGAGAAUAGGAGUACUGCAUCCCAUCUGAUCCUGCAGUCAUUUCACCCAAGGAGGCAUGCAUAUACGGAUUGAUAGGCUUUGACAACAAACAACCAAAAUGGCGGCCGGUGAAUUAGAAAGUGUCUGAGUGCAUGUAGGAUAUCUGAACGGAGAAUAGGAGUACUGCAUCCCAUCUGAUCCUGCAGGUAAGUGUUUAUUUGUUUACAAUGACAGUCAGGAUGGAAUGUCAAUGAGUUCAACUGUCAAGUAAAGUUGCAUCAUCAUUAUAAAAAAAAACAAAACUUAGUCUUUAUGUUGAUGCAGGCAGACAAUUGAAUCUGGCCUAUGUCUUUUCAUGAAUGUAAAUGGAAUUCAUGUUUGAUUGACAAGACAGUCAAGAAAUGGAAGAAGUGGGUGUAGGUCAGAUGUGUAGGUGUAGGUCAGAUUAGCUAGAAUCCUGUAAUUGUUGCAUGGCAUGAGACCGGUCAAAAUAGUGUAUUGAAACAGCUGAUCACAAUCAGAUCACUUGAAGGGUGGGGGAUUUCUUCCUUGGGGACGACAGGCGUGAUGGGUGGGUUGGCCUUACUCGUGGAGACUGGCCCCUGGAUGCGUGACCUUGACCUUUGACCUUGACCCACUUUCAAGGUCAAACCUCAAAAAUCCUGUUGUUGGGCAUGAAACCGGUCAAAAUAGUGUAUUAUAAACAGCUGAUGACAGACAGAUCACUUGAAGGGUGGGGGGUUUCUUCCUUGGGGACGACAGGCGUGAUGGGUGGGUUGGCCUUACUCGUGGAGACUGGCCCCUUGAUGCCUGACCUUGACCUUUGACCUUGACCCACGUUCAAGGUAAAACUUCAAAAACCCAUGGGGGAGAAAGUGUGACCUUGACCUUUGACCUUGACCUCAUUUUGAAGGUCAGAGAGGUCACGGGGCUUCGUUUAAGUGGUCCCGCGUCUCUAUCUACAUCCGUGAAGAAGUUGUGGGCUCGAACGACGACGUCGGAGACUUUCGGGGGCGAGAACCGUGCUUCGGGGUUCUAGGUUUCCCUCGGUCAACUUCUCUGUGCGAGAGUGUUUCAUCUGGAAUUCGUCGGCGAAGGUCUCGCCUCUCCACGACUUGUGGUCUAGUGGGAGUAGCGAUAACGGGGUUUUCGACGUUAAGUCGCCGCCUUUCGCAGAGCGGUCAAAGUUCAGAGUUGUAAUUCAGGAUUCCGAGACCGGUCCAGAAUUCCAUGCUGACCCAUGUGAUAUUUCGAUGCUAUCUGAAGCGGGAAAGAGCGUAUAAAAAGUGCCAUUUUCUGGCCAUUCUGGAUGACCUUGACCUUUGACCUUGACCUACUUUUUCAAGGUCAAGGUCACCCAACCCGUCCCAGUGGGUUCCGUCUCUCUACGACGAAGACUUUAGGAGUCGUCAAUUUGUAGGGGACAAAUCGCAAAACAUGAGGGGGGCAUUAACUCCCUUUAGGGGACACCGAAUCCCUUCAUUUGAAAUUCUUCGCUUCUACUCAUUGACCUCUAUGCUUCAGCAAAGGUUUCAUCCUCCUAUCAUUUACGGUUAAAAAGGAGUAGCGAUAACAAUGAUUUCUGCUAACAGGUCCGAUAACUCUGUAAGGGGUCAAAGUUCCAUGACGCAGGGUGAAAUGUAUUCGUUUCUCAAGAAGUGCUCUAGGAUGGACUCUAAAGUUUUUCGAUAAGUCUUAAGACGAAAAUUUUUUUUGACGGCAGGAAAAUAAUAAUAAUAAACAGAACAAUAACAAUAGGACUUUCCACAGAAAGGUGGAAAGCCCUAAUAAUUGAGACGAAAGUGCCACGUAUUGAAUACAUUUGGCAUUCCUAGGUCAGAAUGGGAACUUGAGUCAUGCAAGUGACAUUUUCACGUUAAAAAAUGCGCGUUUGCCUAAAUUUGGAUUUCUCGUAUUCUGUUGAUUUCUACAUUUCAAGAUUGGCAACUGACCAGGUGUAAAGGUGCACAUUUUCCGUUCUCGGAUGGAAAAAGGGGUGGGUUCGAUUCCCCCGGUCAGUUCACAAGGAAAUGUUGAGUCGCCGUGCUUAAAAAAAAUCAAUUUUCGCAUUCGUCAAGGCGUAAAAGAAUGGCAGGUGGUGAGUGUUUAAAACACUAGUGAUCCUAAUUGUUCGCGAACAAUUAGAGGGCUUCCCACCUUCUAGCAGUUUUUCAGUAGUGUUGAAAUGCUAAAAGCCCCCCCCCCCCCCCCCUACCCCACCCCACCCUCACCAAAAAAAAAAAAAAAAAAAAAAAAAAAAAAUGGAUUUGGCUUGAAAAGAAAUUCAAAUUUGCCGCCUUGAGUGUUGUAGUGUUGGAGAUUAAGGCCUUGGUUUCGCACGAUAGUACCGGUCAAAUAUUUGGAAAAAAAGGGUGCGAGUGUUGCAUAGCCGGCACAUAUCAGGUAAAAGUGUAAUGGGACUUGUGCAGGUGUUUGGGGUGACUUUAGACCUGUUAGAUGUGAUAUUUGGAGGUGCAAAGAAACCGGAUGUGCCAUUUUCCUAGAUUGUAGUAACUGCUGGUGCAUGCUGGGAGUCUAUACAAGCCUCAUGUUGUCAGAUGUUGUGAAGAUGCACUGGAUUUGACCGUGUGUGUUGUGGAUUGUGGAAUUGAAUAUACAGUUUGUAAUGGCUCAUCCUAUGUGUUCUAAUUCACGGAGACAAUGUCUUUCAGUCAUUUCACCCAAGGAGGCAUGCAUAUACGGAUUGAUAGGCUUUGACAACAAACAACCAAAAUGGCGGCCGGUGAAUUAGAAAGUGUCUGAGUGCAUGUAGGAUAUCUGAACGGAGAAUAGGAGUACUGCAUCCCAUCUGAUCCUGCAGGUAAGUGUUUAUUUGUUUACAAUGACAGUCAGGAUGGAAUGUCAAUGAGUUCAACUGUCAAGUAAAGUUGCAUCAUCAUUAUAAAAAAAAAAAAAACUUAGUCUUUAUGUUGAUGCAGGCAGACAAUUGAAUCUGGCCUAUGUCUUUUCAUGAAUGUAAAUGGAAUUCAUGUUUGAUUGACAAGACAGUCAAGAAAUGGAAGAAGUGGGUGUAGGUCAGAUGUGUAGGUGUAGGUCAGAUUAGCUAGAAUCCUGUAAUUGUUGCAUGGCAUGAGACCGGUCAAAAUAGUGUAUUGAAACAGCUGAUCACAAUCAGAUCACUUGAAGGGUGGGGGAUUUCUUCCUUGGGGACGACAGGCGUGAUGGGUGGGUUGGCCUUACUCGUGGAGACUGGCCCCUGGAUGCGUGACCUUGACCUUUGACCUUGACCCACUUUCAAGGUCAAACCUCAAAAAUCCUGUUGUUGGGCAUGAAACCGGUCAAAAUAGUGUAUUAUAAACAGCUGAUGACAGACAGAUCACUUGAAGGGUGGGGGGUUUCUUCCUUGGGGACGACAGGCGUGAUGGGUGGGUUGGCCUUACUCGUGGAGACUGGCCCCUUGAUGCCUGACCUUGACCUUUGACCUUGACCCACGUUCAAGGUAAAACUUCAAAAACCCAUGGGGGAGAAAGUGUGACCUUGACCUUUGACCUUGACCUCAUUUUGAAGGUCAGAGAGGUCACGGGGCUUCGUUUAAGUGGUCCCGCGUCUCUAUCUACAUCCGUGAAGAAGUUGUGGGCUCGAACGACGACGUCGGAGACUUUCGGGGGCGAGAACCGUGCUUCGGGGUUCUAGGUUUCCCUCGGUCAACUUCUCUGUGCGAGAGUGUUUCAUCUGGAAUUCGUCGGCGAAGGUCUCGCCUCUCCACGACUUGUGGUCUAGUGGGAGUAGCGAUAACGGGGUUUUCGACGUUAAGUCGCCGCCUUUCGCAGAGCGGUCAAAGUUCAGAGUUGUAAUUCAGGAUUCCGAGACCGGUCCAGAAUUCCAUGCUGACCCAUGUGAUAUUUCGAUGCUAUCUGAAGCGGGAAAGAGCGUAUAAAAAGUGCCAUUUUCUGGCCAUUCUGGAUGACCUUGACCUUUGACCUUGACCUACUUUUUCAAGGUCAAGGUCACCCAACCCGUCCCAGUGGGUUCCGUCUCUCUACGACGAAGACUUUAGGAGUCGUCAAUUUGUAGGGGACAAAUCGCAAAACAUGAGGGGGGCAUUAACUCCCUUUAGGGGACACCGAAUCCCUUCAUUUGAAAUUCUUCGCUUCUACUCAUUGACCUCUAUGCUUCAGCAAAGGUUUCAUCCUCCUAUCAUUUACGGUUAAAAAGGAGUAGCGAUAACAAUGAUUUCUGCUAACAGGUCCGAUAACUCUGUAAGGGGUCAAAGUUCCAUGACGCAGGGUGAAAUGUAUUCGUUUCUCAAGAAGUGCUCUAGGAUGGACUCUAAAGUUUUUCGAUAAGUCUUAAGACGAAAAUUUUUUUUGACGGCAGGAAAAUAAUAAUAAUAAACAGAACAAUAACAAUAGGACUUUCCACAGAAAGGUGGAAAGCCCUAAUAAUUGAGACGAAAGUGCCACGUAUUGAAUACAUUUGGCAUUCCUAGGUCAGAAUGGGAACUUGAGUCAUGCAAGUGACAUUUUCACGUUAAAAAAUGCGCGUUUGCCUAAAUUUGGAUUUCUCGUAUUCUGUUGAUUUCUACAUUUCAAGAUUGGCAACUGACCAGGUGUAAAGGUGCACAUUUUCCGUUCUCGGAUGGAAAAAGGGGUGGGUUCGAUUCCCCCGGUCAGUUCACAAGGAAAUGUUGAGUCGCCGUGCUUAAAAAAAAUCAAUUUUCGCAUUCGUCAAGGCGUAAAAGAAUGGCAGGUGGUGAGUGUUUAAAACACUAGUGAUCCUAAUUGUUCGCGAACAAUUAGAGGGCUUCCCACCUUCUAGCGGUUUUUCAGUAGUGUUGAAAUGCUAAAAGCCCCCCCCCCCCCCUACCCCACCCCACCCUCACCAAAAAAAAAAAAAAAAAAAAAAAAAAAAAAAUGGAUUUGGCUUGAAAAGAAAUUCAAAUUUGCCGCCUUGAGUGUUGUAGUGUUGGAGAUUAAGGCCUUGGUUUCGCACGAUAGUACCGGUCAAAUAUUUGGAAAAAAAGGGUGCGAGUGUUGCAUAGCCGGCACAUAUCAGGUAAAAGUGUAAUGGGACUUGUGCAGGUGUUUGGGGUGACUUUAGACCUGUUAGAUGUGAUAUUUGGAGGUGCAAAGAAACCGGAUGUGCCAUUUUCCUAGAUUGUAGUAACUGCUGGUGCAUGCUGGGAGUCUAUACAAGCCUCAUGUUGUCAGAUGUUGUGAAGAUGCACUGGAUUUGACCGUGUGUGUUGUGGAUUGUGGAAUUGAAUAUACAGUUUGUAAUGGCUCAUCCUAUGUGUUCUAAUUCACGGAGACAAUGUCUUUCAGUCAUUUCACCCAAGGAGGCAUGCAUAUACGGAUUGAUAGGCUUUGACAACAAACAACCAAAAUGGCGGCCGGUGAAUUAGAAAGUGUCUGAGUGCAUGUAGGAUAUCUGAACGGAGAAUAGGAGUACUGCAUCCCAUCUGAUCCUGCAGGUAAGUGUUUAUUUGUUUACAAUGACAGUCAGGAUGGAAUGUCAAUGAGUUCAACUGUCAAGUAAAGUUGCAUCAUCAUUAUAAAAAAAAACAAAACUUAGUCUUUAUGUUGAUGCAGGCAGACAAUUGAAUCUGGCCUAUGUCUUUUCAUGAAUGUAAAUGGAAUUCAUGUUUGAUUGACAAGACAGUCAAGAAAUGGAAGAAGUGGGUGUAGGUCAGAUGUGUAGGUGUAGGUCAGAUUAGCUAGAAUCCUGUAAUUGUUGCAUGGCAUGAGACCGGUCAAAAUAGUGUAUUGAAACAGCUGAUCACAAUCAGAUCACUUGAAGGGUGGGGGAUUUCUUCCUUGGGGACGACAGGCGUGAUGGGUGGGUUGGCCUUACUCGUGGAGACUGGCCCCUGGAUGCGUGACCUUGACCUUUGACCUUGACCCACUUUCAAGGUCAAACCUCAAAAAUCCUGUUGUUGGGCAUGAAACCGGUCAAAAUAGUGUAUUAUAAACAGCUGAUGACAGACAGAUCACUUGAAGGGUGGGGGGUUUCUUCCUUGGGGACGACAGGCGUGAUGGGUGGGUUGGCCUUACUCGUGGAGACUGGCCCCUUGAUGCCUGACCUUGACCUUUGACCUUGACCCACGUUCAAGGUAAAACUUCAAAAACCCAUGGGGGAGAAAGUGUGACCUUGACCUUUGACCUUGACCUCAUUUUGAAGGUCAGAGAGGUCACGGGGCUUCGUUUAAGUGGUCCCGCGUCUCUAUCUACAUCCGUGAAGAAGUUGUGGGCUCGAACGACGACGUCGGAGACUUUCGGGGGCGAGAACCGUGCUUCGGGGUUCUAGGUUUCCCUCGGUCAACUUCUCUGUGCGAGAGUGUUUCAUCUGGAAUUCGUCGGCGAAGGUCUCGCCUCUCCACGACUUGUGGUCUAGUGGGAGUAGCGAUAACGGGGUUUUCGACGUUAAGUCGCCGCCUUUCGCAGAGCGGUCAAAGUUCAGAGUUGUAAUUCAGGAUUCCGAGACCGGUCCAGAAUUCCAUGCUGACCCAUGUGAUAUUUCGAUGCUAUCUGAAGCGGGAAAGAGCGUAUAAAAAGUGCCAUUUUCUGGCCAUUCUGGAUGACCUUGACCUUUGACCUUGACCUACUUUUUCAAGGUCAAGGUCACCCAACCCGUCCCAGUGGGUUCCGUCUCUCUACGACGAAGACUUUAGGAGUCGUCAAUUUGUAGGGGACAAAUCGCAAAACAUGAGGGGGGCAUUAACUCCCUUUAGGGGACACCGAAUCCCUUCAUUUGAAAUUCUUCGCUUCUACUCAUUGACCUCUAUGCUUCAGCAAAGGUUUCAUCCUCCUAUCAUUUACGGUUAAAAAGGAGUAGCGAUAACAAUGAUUUCUGCUAACAGGUCCGAUAACUCUGUAAGGGGUCAAAGUUCCAUGACGCAGGGUGAAAUGUAUUCGUUUCUCAAGAAGUGCUCUAGGAUGGACUCUAAAGUUUUUCGAUAAGUCUUAAGACGAAAAUUUUUUUUGACGGCAGGAAAAUAAUAAUAAUAAACAGAACAAUAACAAUAGGACUUUCCACAGAAAGGUGGAAAGCCCUAAUAAUUGAGACGAAAGUGCCACGUAUUGAAUACAUUUGGCAUUCCUAGGUCAGAAUGGGAACUUGAGUCAUGCAAGUGACAUUUUCACGUUAAAAAAUGCGCGUUUGCCUAAAUUUGGAUUUCUCGUAUUCUGUUGAUUUCUACAUUUCAAGAUUGGCAACUGACCAGGUGUAAAGGUGCACAUUUUCCGUUCUCGGAUGGAAAAAGGGGUGGGUUCGAUUCCCCCGGUCAGUUCACAAGGAAAUGUUGAGUCGCCGUGCUUAAAAAAAAUCAAUUUUCGCAUUCGUCAAGGCGUAAAAGAAUGGCAGGUGGUGAGUGUUUAAAACACUAGUGAUCCUAAUUGUUCGCGAACAAUUAGAGGGCUUCCCACCUUCUAGCGGUUUUUCAGUAGUGUUGAAAUGCUAAAAGCCCCCCCCCCCCCCUACCCCACCCCACCCUCACCAAAAAAAAAAAAAAAAAAAAAAAAAAAAAAAUGGAUUUGGCUUGAAAAGAAAUUCAAAUUUGCCGCCUUGAGUGUUGUAGUGUUGGAGAUUAAGGCCUUGGUUUCGCACGAUAGUACCGGUCAAAUAUUUGGAAAAAAAGGGUGCGAGUGUUGCAUAGCCGGCACAUAUCAGGUAAAAGUGUAAUGGGACUUGUGCAGGUGUUUGGGGUGACUUUAGACCUGUUAGAUGUGAUAUUUGGAGGUGCAAAGAAACCGGAUGUGCCAUUUUCCUAGAUUGUAGUAACUGCUGGUGCAUGCUGGGAGUCUAUACAAGCCUCAUGUUGUCAGAUGUUGUGAAGAUGCACUGGAUUUGACCGUGUGUGUUGUGGAUUGUGGAAUUGAAUAUACAGUUUGUAAUGGCUCAUCCUAUGUGUUCUAAUUCACGGAGACAAUGUCUUUCAGUCAUUUCACCCAAGGAGGCAUGCAUAUACGGAUUGAUAGGCUUUGACAACAAACAACCAAAAUGGCGGCCGGUGAAUUAGAAAGUGUCUGAGUGCAUGUAGGAUAUCUGAACGGAGAAUAGGAGUACUGCAUCCCAUCUGAUCCUGCAGGUAAGUGUUUAUUUGUUUACAAUGACAGUCAGGAUGGAAUGUCAAUGAGUUCAACUGUCAAGUAAAGUUGCAUCAUCAUUAUAAAAAAAAACAAAACUUAGUCUUUAUGUUGAUGCAGGCAGACAAUUGAAUCUGGCCUAUGUCUUUUCAUGAAUGUAAAUGGAAUUCAUGUUUGAUUGACAAGACAGUCAAGAAAUGGAAGAAGUGGGUGUAGGUCAGAUGUGUAGGUGUAGGUCAGAUUAGCUAGAAUCCUGUAAUUGUUGCAUGGCAUGAGACCGGUCAAAAUAGUGUAUUGAAACAGCUGAUCACAAUCAGAUCACUUGAAGGGUGGGGGAUUUCUUCCUUGGGGACGACAGGCGUGAUGGGUGGGUUGGCCUUACUCGUGGAGACUGGCCCCUGGAUGCGUGACCUUGACCUUUGACCUUGACCCACUUUCAAGGUCAAACCUCAAAAAUCCUGUUGUUGGGCAUGAAACCGGUCAAAAUAGUGUAUUAUAAACAGCUGAUGACAGACAGAUCACUUGAAGGGUGGGGGGUUUCUUCCUUGGGGACGACAGGCGUGAUGGGUGGGUUGGCCUUACUCGUGGAGACUGGCCCCUUGAUGCCUGACCUUGACCUUUGACCUUGACCCACGUUCAAGGUAAAACUUCAAAAACCCAUGGGGGAGAAAGUGUGACCUUGACCUUUGACCUUGACCUCAUUUUGAAGGUCAGAGAGGUCACGGGGCUUCGUUUAAGUGGUCCCGCGUCUCUAUCUACAUCCGUGAAGAAGUUGUGGGCUCGAACGACGACGUCGGAGACUUUCGGGGGCGAGAACCGUGCUUCGGGGUUCUAGGUUUCCCUCGGUCAACUUCUCUGUGCGAGAGUGUUUCAUCUGGAAUUCGUCGGCGAAGGUCUCGCCUCUCCACGACUUGUGGUCUAGUGGGAGUAGCGAUAACGGGGUUUUCGACGUUAAGUCGCCGCCUUUCGCAGAGCGGUCAAAGUUCAGAGUUGUAAUUCAGGAUUCCGAGACCGGUCCAGAAUUCCAUGCUGACCCAUGUGAUAUUUCGAUGCUAUCUGAAGCGGGAAAGAGCGUAUAAAAAGUGCCAUUUUCUGGCCAUUCUGGAUGACCUUGACCUUUGACCUUGACCUACUUUUUCAAGGUCAAGGUCACCCAACCCGUCCCAGUGGGUUCCGUCUCUCUACGACGAAGACUUUAGGAGUCGUCAAUUUGUAGGGGACAAAUCGCAAAACAUGAGGGGGGCAUUAACUCCCUUUAGGGGACACCGAAUCCCUUCAUUUGAAAUUCUUCGCUUCUACUCAUUGACCUCUAUGCUUCAGCAAAGGUUUCAUCCUCCUAUCAUUUACGGUUAAAAAGGAGUAGCGAUAACAAUGAUUUCUGCUAACAGGUCCGAUAACUCUGUAAGGGGUCAAAGUUCCAUGACGCAGGGUGAAAUGUAUUCGUUUCUCAAGAAGUGCUCUAGGAUGGACUCUAAAGUUUUUCGAUAAGUCUUAAGACGAAAAUUUUUUUUGACGGCAGGAAAAUAAUAAUAAUAAACAGAACAAUAACAAUAGGACUUUCCACAGAAAGGUGGAAAGCCCUAAUAAUUGAGACGAAAGUGCCACGUAUUGAAUACAUUUGGCAUUCCUAGGUCAGAAUGGGAACUUGAGUCAUGCAAGUGACAUUUUCACGUUAAAAAAUGCGCGUUUGCCUAAAUUUGGAUUUCUCGUAUUCUGUUGAUUUCUACAUUUCAAGAUUGGCAACUGACCAGGUGUAAAGGUGCACAUUUUCCGUUCUCGGAUGGAAAAAGGGGUGGGUUCGAUUCCCCCGGUCAGUUCACAAGGAAAUGUUGAGUCGCCGUGCUUAAAAAAAAUCAAUUUUCGCAUUCGUCAAGGCGUAAAAGAAUGGCAGGUGGUGAGUGUUUAAAACACUAGUGAUCCUAAUUGUUCGCGAACAAUUAGAGGGCUUCCCACCUUCUAGCGGUUUUUCAGUAGUGUUGAAAUGCUAAAAGCCCCCCCCCCCCCCCUACCCCACCCCACCCUCACCAAAAAAAAAAAAAAAAAAAAAAAAAAAAAUGGAUUUGGCUUGAAAAGAAAUUCAAAUUUGCCGCCUUGAGUGUUGUAGUGUUGGAGAUUAAGGCCUUGGUUUCGCACGAUAGUACCGGUCAAAUAUUUGGAAAAAAAGGGUGCGAGUGUUGCAUAGCCGGCACAUAUCAGGUAAAAGUGUAAUGGGACUUGUGCAGGUGUUUGGGGUGACUUUAGACCUGUUAGAUGUGAUAUUUGGAGGUGCAAAGAAACCGGAUGUGCCAUUUUCCUAGAUUGUAGUAACUGCUGGUGCAUGCUGGGAGUCUAUACAAGCCUCAUGUUGUCAGAUGUUGUGAAGAUGCACUGGAUUUGACCGUGUGUGUUGUGGAUUGUGGAAUUGAAUAUACAGUUUGUAAUGGCUCAUCCUAUGUGUUCUAAUUCACGGAGACAAUGUCUUUCAGUCAUUUCACCCAAGGAGGCAUGCAUAUACGGAUUGAUAGGCUUUGACAACAAACAACCAAAAUGGCGGCCGGUGAAUUAGAAAGUGUCUGAGUGCAUGUAGGAUAUCUGAACGGAGAAUAGGAGUACUGCAUCCCAUCUGAUCCUGCAGGUAAGUGUUUAUUUGUUUACAAUGACAGUCAGGAUGGAAUGUCAAUGAGUUCAACUGUCAAGUAAAGUUGCAUCAUCAUUAUAAAAAAAAACAAAACUUAGUCUUUAUGUUGAUGCAGGCAGACAAUUGAAUCUGGCCUAUGUCUUUUCAUGAAUGUAAAUGGAAUUCAUGUUUGAUUGACAAGACAGUCAAGAAAUGGAAGAAGUGGGUGUAGGUCAGAUGUGUAGGUGUAGGUCAGAUUAGCUAGAAUCCUGUAAUUGUUGCAUGGCAUGAGACCGGUCAAAAUAGUGUAUUGAAACAGCUGAUCACAAUCAGAUCACUUGAAGGGUGGGGGAUUUCUUCCUUGGGGACGACAGGCGUGAUGGGUGGGUUGGCCUUACUCGUGGAGACUGGCCCCUGGAUGCGUGACCUUGACCUUUGACCUUGACCCACUUUCAAGGUCAAACCUCAAAAAUCCUGUUGUUGGGCAUGAAACCGGUCAAAAUAGUGUAUUAUAAACAGCUGAUGACAGACAGAUCACUUGAAGGGUGGGGGGUUUCUUCCUUGGGGACGACAGGCGUGAUGGGUGGGUUGGCCUUACUCGUGGAGACUGGCCCCUUGAUGCCUGACCUUGACCUUUGACCUUGACCCACGUUCAAGGUAAAACUUCAAAAACCCAUGGGGGAGAAAGUGUGACCUUGACCUUUGACCUUGACCUCAUUUUGAAGGUCAGAGAGGUCACGGGGCUUCGUUUAAGUGGUCCCGCGUCUCUAUCUACAUCCGUGAAGAAGUUGUGGGCUCGAACGACGACGUCGGAGACUUUCGGGGGCGAGAACCGUGCUUCGGGGUUCUAGGUUUCCCUCGGUCAACUUCUCUGUGCGAGAGUGUUUCAUCUGGAAUUCGUCGGCGAAGGUCUCGCCUCUCCACGACUUGUGGUCUAGUGGGAGUAGCGAUAACGGGGUUUUCGACGUUAAGUCGCCGCCUUUCGCAGAGCGGUCAAAGUUCAGAGUUGUAAUUCAGGAUUCCGAGACCGGUCCAGAAUUCCAUGCUGACCCAUGUGAUAUUUCGAUGCUAUCUGAAGCGGGAAAGAGCGUAUAAAAAGUGCCAUUUUCUGGCCAUUCUGGAUGACCUUGACCUUUGACCUUGACCUACUUUUUCAAGGUCAAGGUCACCCAACCCGUCCCAGUGGGUUCCGUCUCUCUACGACGAAGACUUUAGGAGUCGUCAAUUUGUAGGGGACAAAUCGCAAAACAUGAGGGGGGCAUUAACUCCCUUUAGGGGACACCGAAUCCCUUCAUUUGAAAUUCUUCGCUUCUACUCAUUGACCUCUAUGCUUCAGCAAAGGUUUCAUCCUCCUAUCAUUUACGGUUAAAAAGGAGUAGCGAUAACAAUGAUUUCUGCUAACAGGUCCGAUAACUCUGUAAGGGGUCAAAGUUCCAUGACGCAGGGUGAAAUGUAUUCGUUUCUCAAGAAGUGCUCUAGGAUGGACUCUAAAGUUUUUCGAUAAGUCUUAAGACGAAAAUUUUUUUUGACGGCAGGAAAAUAAUAAUAAUAAACAGAACAAUAACAAUAGGACUUUCCACAGAAAGGUGGAAAGCCCUAAUAAUUGAGACGAAAGUGCCACGUAUUGAAUACAUUUGGCAUUCCUAGGUCAGAAUGGGAACUUGAGUCAUGCAAGUGACAUUUUCACGUUAAAAAAUGCGCGUUUGCCUAAAUUUGGAUUUCUCGUAUUCUGUUGAUUUCUACAUUUCAAGAUUGGCAACUGACCAGGUGUAAAGGUGCACAUUUUCCGUUCUCGGAUGGAAAAAGGGGUGGGUUCGAUUCCCCCGGUCAGUUCACAAGGAAAUGUUGAGUCGCCGUGCUUAAAAAAAAUCAAUUUUCGCAUUCGUCAAGGCGUAAAAGAAUGGCAGGUGGUGAGUGUUUAAAACACUAGUGAUCCUAAUUGUUCGCGAACAAUUAGAGGGCUUCCCACCUUCUAGCGGUUUUUCAGUAGUGUUGAAAUGCUAAAAGCCCCCCCCCCCCCCCCUACCCCACCCCACCCUCACCAAAAAAAAAAAAAAAAAAAAAAAAAAAAAAUGGAUUUGGCUUGAAAAGAAAUUCAAAUUUGCCGCCUUGAGUGUUGUAGUGUUGGAGAUUAAGGCCUUGGUUUCGCACGAUAGUACCGGUCAAAUAUUUGGAAAAAAAGGGUGCGAGUGUUGCAUAGCCGGCACAUAUCAGGUAAAAGUGUAAUGGGACUUGUGCAGGUGUUUGGGGUGACUUUAGACCUGUUAGAUGUGAUAUUUGGAGGUGCAAAGAAACCGGAUGUGCCAUUUUCCUAGAUUGUAGUAACUGCUGGUGCAUGCUGGGAGUCUAUACAAGCCUCAUGUUGUCAGAUGUUGUGAAGAUGCACUGGAUUUGACCGUGUGUGUUGUGGAUUGUGGAAUUGAAUAUACAGUUUGUAAUGGCUCAUCCUAUGUGUUCUAAUUCACGGAGACAAUGUCUUUCAGUCAUUUCACCCAAGGAGGCAUGCAUAUACGGAUUGAUAGGCUUUGACAACAAACAACCAAAAUGGCGGCCGGUGAAUUAGAAAGUGUCUGAGUGCAUGUAGGAUAUCUGAACGGAGAAUAGGAGUACUGCAUCCCAUCUGAUCCUGCAGGUAAGUGUUUAUUUGUUUACAAUGACAGUCAGGAUGGAAUGUCAAUGAGUUCAACUGUCAAGUAAAGUUGCAUCAUCAUUAUAAAAAAAAACAAAACUUAGUCUUUAUGUUGAUGCAGGCAGACAAUUGAAUCUGGCCUAUGUCUUUUCAUGAAUGUAAAUGGAAUUCAUGUUUGAUUGACAAGACAGUCAAGAAAUGGAAGAAGUGGGUGUAGGUCAGAUGUGUAGGUGUAGGUCAGAUUAGCUAGAAUCCUGUAAUUGUUGCAUGGCAUGAGACCGGUCAAAAUAGUGUAUUGAAACAGCUGAUCACAAUCAGAUCACUUGAAGGGUGGGGGAUUUCUUCCUUGGGGACGACAGGCGUGAUGGGUGGGUUGGCCUUACUCGUGGAGACUGGCCCCUGGAUGCGUGACCUUGACCUUUGACCUUGACCCACUUUCAAGGUCAAACCUCAAAAAUCCUGUUGUUGGGCAUGAAACCGGUCAAAAUAGUGUAUUAUAAACAGCUGAUGACAGACAGAUCACUUGAAGGGUGGGGGGUUUCUUCCUUGGGGACGACAGGCGUGAUGGGUGGGUUGGCCUUACUCGUGGAGACUGGCCCCUUGAUGCCUGACCUUGACCUUUGACCUUGACCCACGUUCAAGGUAAAACUUCAAAAACCCAUGGGGGAGAAAGUGUGACCUUGACCUUUGACCUUGACCUCAUUUUGAAGGUCAGAGAGGUCACGGGGCUUCGUUUAAGUGGUCCCGCGUCUCUAUCUACAUCCGUGAAGAAGUUGUGGGCUCGAACGACGACGUCGGAGACUUUCGGGGGCGAGAACCGUGCUUCGGGGUUCUAGGUUUCCCUCGGUCAACUUCUCUGUGCGAGAGUGUUUCAUCUGGAAUUCGUCGGCGAAGGUCUCGCCUCUCCACGACUUGUGGUCUAGUGGGAGUAGCGAUAACGGGGUUUUCGACGUUAAGUCGCCGCCUUUCGCAGAGCGGUCAAAGUUCAGAGUUGUAAUUCAGGAUUCCGAGACCGGUCCAGAAUUCCAUGCUGACCCAUGUGAUAUUUCGAUGCUAUCUGAAGCGGGAAAGAGCGUAUAAAAAGUGCCAUUUUCUGGCCAUUCUGGAUGACCUUGACCUUUGACCUUGACCUACUUUUUCAAGGUCAAGGUCACCCAACCCGUCCCAGUGGGUUCCGUCUCUCUACGACGAAGACUUUAGGAGUCGUCAAUUUGUAGGGGACAAAUCGCAAAACAUGAGGGGGGCAUUAACUCCCUUUAGGGGACACCGAAUCCCUUCAUUUGAAAUUCUUCGCUUCUACUCAUUGACCUCUAUGCUUCAGCAAAGGUUUCAUCCUCCUAUCAUUUACGGUUAAAAAGGAGUAGCGAUAACAAUGAUUUCUGCUAACAGGUCCGAUAACUCUGUAAGGGGUCAAAGUUCCAUGACGCAGGGUGAAAUGUAUUCGUUUCUCAAGAAGUGCUCUAGGAUGGACUCUAAAGUUUUUCGAUAAGUCUUAAGACGAAAAUUUUUUUUGACGGCAGGAAAAUAAUAAUAAUAAACAGAACAAUAACAAUAGGACUUUCCACAGAAAGGUGGAAAGCCCUAAUAAUUGAGACGAAAGUGCCACGUAUUGAAUACAUUUGGCAUUCCUAGGUCAGAAUGGGAACUUGAGUCAUGCAAGUGACAUUUUCACGUUAAAAAAUGCGCGUUUGCCUAAAUUUGGAUUUCUCGUAUUCUGUUGAUUUCUACAUUUCAAGAUUGGCAACUGACCAGGUGUAAAGGUGCACAUUUUCCGUUCUCGGAUGGAAAAAGGGGUGGGUUCGAUUCCCCCGGUCAGUUCACAAGGAAAUGUUGAGUCGCCGUGCUUAAAAAAAAUCAAUUUUCGCAUUCGUCAAGGCGUAAAAGAAUGGCAGGUGGUGAGUGUUUAAAACACUAGUGAUCCUAAUUGUUCGCGAACAAUUAGAGGGCUUCCCACCUUCUAGCGGUUUUUCAGUAGUGUUGAAAUGCUAAAAGCCCCCCCCCCCCCCUACCCCACCCCACCCUCACCAAAAAAAAAAAAAAAAAAAAAAAAAAAAAAAUGGAUUUGGCUUGAAAAGAAAUUCAAAUUUGCCGCCUUGAGUGUUGUAGUGUUGGAGAUUAAGGCCUUGGUUUCGCACGAUAGUACCGGUCAAAUAUUUGGAAAAAAAGGGUGCGAGUGUUGCAUAGCCGGCACAUAUCAGGUAAAAGUGUAAUGGGACUUGUGCAGGUGUUUGGGGUGACUUUAGACCUGUUAGAUGUGAUAUUUGGAGGUGCAAAGAAACCGGAUGUGCCAUUUUCCUAGAUUGUAGUAACUGCUGGUGCAUGCUGGGAGUCUAUACAAGCCUCAUGUUGUCAGAUGUUGUGAAGAUGCACUGGAUUUGACCGUGUGUGUUGUGGAUUGUGGAAUUGAAUAUACAGUUUGUAAUGGCUCAUCCUAUGUGUUCUAAUUCACGGAGACAAUGUCUUUCAGUCAUUUCACCCAAGGAGGCAUGCAUAUACGGAUUGAUAGGCUUUGACAACAAACAACCAAAAUGGCGGCCGGUGAAUUAGAAAGUGUCUGAGUGCAUGUAGGAUAUCUGAACGGAGAAUAGGAGUACUGCAUCCCAUCUGAUCCUGCAGGUAAGUGUUUAUUUGUUUACAAUGACAGUCAGGAUGGAAUGUCAAUGAGUUCAACUGUCAAGUAAAGUUGCAUCAUCAUUAUAAAAAAAAAAAAAACUUAGUCUUUAUGUUGAUGCAGGCAGACAAUUGAAUCUGGCCUAUGUCUUUUCAUGAAUGUAAAUGGAAUUCAUGUUUGAUUGACAAGACAGUCAAGAAAUGGAAGAAGUGGGUGUAGGUCAGAUGUGUAGGUGUAGGUCAGAUUAGCUAGAAUCCUGUAAUUGUUGCAUGGCAUGAGACCGGUCAAAAUAGUGUAUUGAAACAGCUGAUCACAAUCAGAUCACUUGAAGGGUGGGGGAUUUCUUCCUUGGGGACGACAGGCGUGAUGGGUGGGUUGGCCUUACUCGUGGAGACUGGCCCCUGGAUGCGUGACCUUGACCUUUGACCUUGACCCACUUUCAAGGUCAAACCUCAAAAAUCCUGUUGUUGGGCAUGAAACCGGUCAAAAUAGUGUAUUAUAAACAGCUGAUGACAGACAGAUCACUUGAAGGGUGGGGGGUUUCUUCCUUGGGGACGACAGGCGUGAUGGGUGGGUUGGCCUUACUCGUGGAGACUGGCCCCUUGAUGCCUGACCUUGACCUUUGACCUUGACCCACGUUCAAGGUAAAACUUCAAAAACCCAUGGGGGAGAAAGUGUGACCUUGACCUUUGACCUUGACCUCAUUUUGAAGGUCAGAGAGGUCACGGGGCUUCGUUUAAGUGGUCCCGCGUCUCUAUCUACAUCCGUGAAGAAGUUGUGGGCUCGAACGACGACGUCGGAGACUUUCGGGGGCGAGAACCGUGCUUCGGGGUUCUAGGUUUCCCUCGGUCAACUUCUCUGUGCGAGAGUGUUUCAUCUGGAAUUCGUCGGCGAAGGUCUCGCCUCUCCACGACUUGUGGUCUAGUGGGAGUAGCGAUAACGGGGUUUUCGACGUUAAGUCGCCGCCUUUCGCAGAGCGGUCAAAGUUCAGAGUUGUAAUUCAGGAUUCCGAGACCGGUCCAGAAUUCCAUGCUGACCCAUGUGAUAUUUCGAUGCUAUCUGAAGCGGGAAAGAGCGUAUAAAAAGUGCCAUUUUCUGGCCAUUCUGGAUGACCUUGACCUUUGACCUUGACCUACUUUUUCAAGGUCAAGGUCACCCAACCCGUCCCAGUGGGUUCCGUCUCUCUACGACGAAGACUUUAGGAGUCGUCAAUUUGUAGGGGACAAAUCGCAAAACAUGAGGGGGGCAUUAACUCCCUUUAGGGGACACCGAAUCCCUUCAUUUGAAAUUCUUCGCUUCUACUCAUUGACCUCUAUGCUUCAGCAAAGGUUUCAUCCUCCUAUCAUUUACGGUUAAAAAGGAGUAGCGAUAACAAUGAUUUCUGCUAACAGGUCCGAUAACUCUGUAAGGGGUCAAAGUUCCAUGACGCAGGGUGAAAUGUAUUCGUUUCUCAAGAAGUGCUCUAGGAUGGACUCUAAAGUUUUUCGAUAAGUCUUAAGACGAAAA